UUCGCCCUUAGAGUUUGAUCCUGGCUCAGGACGAACGCUGGCGGCGUGCCUAACACAUGCAAGUCGAGCGAGCGAAUCGGGAGAAGUUUUCGGACGGAGCCCGGUGAGUUAGCGGCGGACGGGUGAGUAACGCGUGAGCAACCUGUCCUUCACAGGGGGAUAACACAGCGAAAGUUGUACUAAUACCGCAUAAGACCACAGCGCUGCAUGGCGCGGGGGUCAAAGGAGCAAUCCGGUGAAGGGUGGGCUCGCGUCCGAUUAGAUAGUUGGUGAGGUAACGGCCCACCAAGUCAACGAUCGGUAGCCGACCUGAGAGGGUGAUCGGCCACAUUGGGACUGAGACACGGCCCAAACUCCUACGGGAGGCAGCAGUGGGGAAUAUUGGGCAAUGGGGGGAACCCUGACCCAGCAACGCCGCGUGAGGGAAGAAGGUUUUCGGAUCGUAAACCUCUGUCCUAGGGGAAGAGGAGUAGACGGUACCCUGGGAGGAAGCCCCGGCUAACUACGUGCCAGCAGCCGCGGUAAUACGUAGGGGGCGAGCGUUGUCCGGAAUGAUUGGGCGUAAAGGGCGCGUAGGCGGUCUGCUAAGUCUGGAGUGAAAGUCCCGGCUUUAAGUUGGGAAUGGCUUUGGAUACUGGCGGGCUCGAGUGCAGGAGAGGUAAGUGGAAUUCCCAGUGUAGCGGUGAAAUGCGUAGAGAUUGGGAGGAACACCAGUGGCGAAGGCGACUUACUGGACUGUAACUGACGCUGAGGCGCGAAAGUGUGGGGAGCAAACAGGAUUAGAUACCCUGGUAGUCCACACUGUAAACGAUGAAUGCUAGGUGUAGGUGGUAUCGACCCCAUCUGUGCCGGAGUCAACACAAUAAGCACUCCACCUGGGGAGUACGGCCGCAAGGUUGAAACUCAAAGGAAAUGACGGGGGCCCGCACAAGCAGUGGAUUAUGUGGUUUAAUUCGAAGCAACGCGAAGAACCUUACCAGGGCUUGACAUCCAACGAAUCGGGUGGAAACACCUGAGUGCCCUUCGGGGAGCGUUGAGACAGGUGGUGCAUGGUUGUCGUCAGCUCGUGUCGUGAGAUGUUGGGUUAAGUCCCAUAACGAGCGCAACCCUUGUUGCCAGUUGCUACGAAAGAGCACUCUGGCGAGACUGCCGUUGACAAAACGGAGGAAGGUGGGGAUGACGUCAAAUCAUCAUGCCCCUUAUGUUCUGGGCUACACACGUAAUACAAUGGCGUUUAACAGAGGGAAGCAAAGCUGUGAGGCAGAGCAAAUCCCUAAAAGACGUCUCAGUUCGGAUUGCAGGCUGCAACUCGCCUGCAUGAAGUCGGAAUUGCUAGUAAUCGCGGAUCAGCAUGCCGCGGUGAAUACGUUCCCGGGCCUUGCACUCACCGCCCGUCA
rnacentral:rRNA from 1 species